AAUAAGUACGGUUUUGCACCGUUCAUAUACAACGUUUGACCGUUUGUAUUAUUUAAAAUUUAUUUUAUGAUUAAUAUUUUUAUUUUUAUUUGAUGAAACAUGAAUAGUACUUAAUGUGUGACUAUUUUAAAAAAAAUCAUAUUUUUUUUAAUAAGACGAACAGUCAAACGUUGGACACGGAUACU
rnacentral:pre_miRNA from 1 species